ACGAACGCUGGCGGCGUGCUUCACACAUGCAAGUCGCACGGAAAGGCCCUGCUUUUGUGGGGUGCUCGAGUGGCGAACGGGUGAGUAACGCGUGAGUAACCUGCCCUUGACUUUGGGAUAACUUCAGGAAACUGGGGCUAAUACCGGAUAGGAGCUCCUGCUGCAUGGUGGGGGUUGGAAAGUUUCGGCGGUUGGGGAUGGACUCGCGGCUUAUCAGCUUGUUGGUGGGGUAGUGGCUUACCAAGGCUUUGACGGGUAGCCGGCCUGAGAGGGUGACCGGCCACAUUGGGACUGAGAUACGGCCCAGACUCCUACGGGAGGCAGCAGUGGGGAAUAUUGCACAAUGGGCGGAAGCCUGAUGCAGCAACGCCGCGUGCGGGAUGACGGCCUUCGGGUUGUAAACCGCUUUCGCCUGUGACGAAGCGUGAGUGACGGUAAUGGGUAAAGAAGCACCGGCUAACUACGUG
rnacentral:rRNA from 1 species